GCCGGGUGCGGUGGCGCGCGCCUGUAAUCCAAGUUACCUGGAGGCUGAGGCUCGAGGAUCGUUUGAGCUCAGGAGCUCUGAGCUGCAGCGGACUAUGCCGAUCGGGUGUCCGCACUAAGUUCGGUGUCGAUAUGGUGUUCCUUGGGGAGCCCUGGAUCGCCAGGUCGCCUAAGGAGGGGUGAACCGGCCCAGGUCGGAAACGGAGCAGGUCAAAUCCCCCGUGCCGCUCAGUAGUGGGAUCGCACCUGUGAAUAGACGUUGGAGUGCAGCCUGAGCAAUACAGCGAGACCCAGUCUUU
ensembl:misc_RNA Metazoa_SRP Metazoan signal recognition particle RNA